AAAUACCUAGUUAUUUAUUUUGUUUAAUAUAAGUUUUGAAAAGAAUUUUUCUGUGGUUUUCCUUGUGUACAUUUCUUUGCUUAACUGGGAUUUUAAUGAUGCUGACCGCCCCGUGGAUCAUCGCCAUGCGCUGCUGAACAAUGGAUCUGGCAGAUCAAAUCGAUGACUAUAUUUGCUCAUUCGAGGGACUUGGUGACUUAACAAUGGACUCCCUAGCCAUAUUCAUAUUCUUGUGGGCCGUGCUGGCCCUCUUCUCCGUUUGGCUGUGCAAGCUGCUCUACCAUAAGUAUCUCAACAAGGGCGCCUCCCCCAGCGCCAGCAACAGUCGUCAGGGCAGCGUGGCCCCCGGCGGUGCCUUGGGGGCCGGUGGUGCUAAGCUGGAAAAGCGGCUAUCUGAGCCACGCGAUAUGCUGGCCACCAAAAGCAAAGUAGAGGAUUUGUCCAAACCACUUACGGCUGGUGGCUCAGCGGGGCGUGGACGUUCCACAGCCUCGCCCAUGGGCGGCAGCGGCGCUGCAGCCGGUCCGCGACGUCGUGUGGUGCGUCAGAGUUCUACAGGGCCAGAGAAUCGCAAGAAACGCUACGUGCCGCCGCCUUCGAAUGUGGUGGGACCAGAAACAAGCUCCGUUACGUGGACGAGUCAAGUGUUUCGCUGGCUGUACAGCGAUCUGGUUAUAGUCAACGAGCUGCUCAUGUCCUGGGUGAUUGCCAUCAACGAUACGCUGCGCAAGUCCGUCGAGGAGCAUGGCGUGGCCGUUGAAGUGGUGCGUGUGCUGCCCGAUAGCCCGGCCCCGGGCCUGAACAAUAUCUUCUGCAACUGCGAGGAGCACAAUCCCGCUGAAAUGCUCAUCACUUUCGACUGCGAUGCGAUGCCCGUGCUGCAGGUGAAGACCUUCCGGCAGAAGUCAGGCAAGGUGGAGACCUCGCAUUAUAAGGUCACCGUGUCGCGAUUCCGUGCACGCAUGUCCAUACCCAUCAACUAUAAUACGCUUAAGGGUGAGAUGCGUGUCGACGGCUAUCCGGACGUACGCAUUGCCAUGAACAGCGUGGGCGCCAUCAAGGCCAUGGAUCAGGAUGAGCAGCAACUGCAGACUGUCAUCGGCGACAUACUGACGACGGCGCUGCGUGACACCGUCUAUCCGGUGGACUUCUCCAUCUACUCGACCUGCCCGCGCGCCGAGGUGGAGCCCUUGGAGCUGCCUGUAAUCUAUCCCGUGCAUUAUGACUCGUUGGCGCACAACAUGGAACACCUGGGCGCAGGUAUUCUGCGCGACUCGCAGCACAUGGUGUCCGGCCGGCGUUUGCUGGUGAAGAUCGUCAAGGGUGAGGGACUACGGGACGCUCACGAGCCGUAUGUUGUCAUUGAGAUGGACGAGCCAGCGCAGAAAAACCAAACGGGCACUCAGCGCGGCAGCAAGCCUUACUGGGAUGAGCACUUCCUCUUCGAACUCUCCCCACAAUCUGCUGAAAUACUCUUUGAGGUCUACGAUCAUCCGGUGAUUGCAUCGGAUCCGCCCAAGUUCCUUGGCCUCGGCCUGGUUGGCAUCGACGAGCUGGCCGUGGGGCCCGCCUCCACGCAACUGCUGCAAUUGCAGCCGCGACCCUACGAAACGCAGCCGGUGUCGGGCGCCAUAACCGUGGACUUUGUGUUCAUCGAGGGCGCCGAGAUUCCGGCCAGCGCGCGUCCCAAUCGCCUGAAGGAGGCCCUGCGCCUCAGCACGCCCGCCAUCAACGAGCAUAUACGCAACGGUGCCGACCUGGCCGAUGCCGCGGUCCGAGCCCUGCAGGACGGCACACUCUCGGGCACCAGCGGCGGCCAGCCCAGCAAGAGCACCCUGAUCAUCCACAGUGUGCAGCGGAACUCGAGCAAUCCAAAUGCAUUUAAGGUCGAGCUGAACAAAGAUGGCCAGAUCGAGGUCGUCGAAUCUCCCACUGAGCUCGACCAGGUUGUUGCCCAGGCCUUCGAGCGUGCCGCCACCGAGGCGGCCAACAUGGCCAGCGCCGCCUCGGCCGACCUGGUAGAUAGCCCGGCCAGCGAAUCCGCAAACACGACAGGUAACAAUAACUCCAACGAGGAAAGCACAGCCGAGUUUGGCCAGCCAAAUGCCGCCUCCUCGCCGAACGGCAGCGGCUACACACAGCACAAUAACUACAGCCUAAAUGGAACCAGCAAUCUCGCCGCUCCGGCCGGAGCCAAUGGUAGCGGCAACUCGAACAGCCUGCCCAGAAAUGGCGGCAGUUCGGCGUAUGCGGGCCUGCAACAGCCGUCGGGCCAGGAGCUGGACGGCCGUGGGCGCAGCAAAAAACGUAAUUUCUUUGGCACCCUCAAGAAGCGGCUCAGCCGCUCCAAAACACGCACCCUCUCGGCUGAUCAGCCCAAUAACAACCAUAAUUCACAAUCAGCCACCAAUUCCGCCAAUACAACAACAGCCACAGGACUCACAAGAACAGCCACAGGAACCCUUAAUGGUGAAUCUUCCCGUUCAUUAUCUGUCGAUCGUGCCACUCUGUCUAAAAGCAACUCACUUGGACCCCGCAUGGGAAUUGGCUCAUCCAUCACCGACCACUCACGACGCUCUUCAAUUUCAGAAUCCUCAGCCAUCUCGGGCUUCUCCUCGGCCAGCAACAAAACCUAUGUCCAUGAGGCAUCCACAUUGGUCCUAGAAACCGUGGAGAAUGGCAUUAAGCGACACUUUAUUGUGCCGCUGGCCAUUGCACAAAGGCCCCGCUGGCGUCGCAAGGGCACCAAGCUGCACAUCUACAAUGACCACACGUUCAUUGCCAAGCAUUUGAGCGGCAGCGGCCUGCAGUGCUCGAUCUGCAUGAAGUCCAUACCCCGGCGGCCGGGCAAGCAGGGCUACGAGUGCCGCGACUGCCAGCUGAUCUGUCACAAGCAAUGCCACAUACGGGCCCCACAGGCGUGCCCCAAUCCCACUGUGCUCUCCAUGGAACUGGCCUCAUAUCCGGAUGCCUUGUGAUCAGUAAAUAUAAGAGCACAAUAUAAAUUUGAUAUUUUUCAAAGAGUUUAAGGUAACAACAAGAGUUUAUAUGCAAGUUUUCGUAAUUUUGACGCCAAGAGCAAAAUAUGCUAGACAAAAAUAUUCAGAGAGAGAGAAAGAGAGAGAGAGAGAGAGGGAGAAAGCAGAGAGUUUUAGGAUCACGUCCGGUUCCGCUCAACGCAACAUUUCAGCUUUUUCUGAACUUCCGUUUUCUAACGUAGGACAAUGGAACGAAACUGAACUCAGCUGCUGCGGAUCGUAGCAUUAGGAAAUUGUGAAAAUCUACAAUGCACCGAUAUGAAUCGAAAUAGUAAUUUUAAAUAGUUUGCAAUUUAUACACUAAACGAAAAGAAGUCAUCUAGAUUAUUUAAAUCUUGAACUCUAAAAAAAAUACACUUGCAUACAUACUUCUUUCUGUAUGUAUUUGAUCCUUAUCUCUUUUACUAUAAUUAUGUUAUAUAUUUUUUACACGAGUGCAAUACUUUGGUUUCAUUUAAACUAUUUUUUUUUUUACUGAAUUUCUUAGCAUUAACAAAAAGAGAGCCAAUGAACAUGUUUAUAUUUACCAUCACGAAUAAUAAUUGUACAAAAUUGAAA